rnacentral:lncRNA from 1 species
CCUCCCUCCUUGCGUGGUGGCGUGUGGACUACUCCAAAGGCUUGAGAUCAGAUCUUAAGUGUAAUUCUCCUUCCUCUCCAAAGAAAGAGUUCAUCCCUCUCUCCUACAGUGUUUGGCGUGCAUGCGAAGUAGAGGAUCCGUGCUUCCAGAUCUCGUGAAGUAUAUUGAUCGAGGAGCUUCUUCAAUCUUUAUUAUUUUCUGCUAUGAAUCAAAAUGAGAAUUCAUAUGUUAUGAAAAUUUUAAUUGCUAAUCUAUUCUACUUUCCAGGCAUUCGAUACGAUCCGACAAAUUUUUUCUUCACCGCUUGUCCUCUUGCUUCUUGUCUCUCCGGUGUGCCAGUGCUAGUUGCGACUGAGGUAAAGGAAAUGGAUGUUGAGACAAAGGAGGUGGUUG